GAUGAACGCUAGCUACAGGCUUAACACAUGCAAGUCGAGGGGAAACGGCAUUGAGUGCUUGCACUCUUUGGACGUCGACCGGCGCACGGGUGAGUAACGCGUAUCCAACCUUCCCAUUACUGUGGGAUAACCUGCCGAAAGGCAGACUAAUACCGCAUAGUCUUCGAUGACGGCAUCAGAUUUGAAGUAAAGAUUUAUCGGUAAUGGAUGGGGAUGCGUCUGAUUAGCUUGUUGGCGGGGUAACGGCCCACCAAGGCGACGAUCAGUAGGGGUUCUGAGAGGAAGGCCCCCCACAUUGGAACUGAGACACGGUCCAAACUCCUACGGGAGGCAGCAGUGAGGAAUAUUGGUCAAUGGACGGAAGUCUGAACCAGCCAAGUAGCGUGCAGGAUGACGGCCCUAUGGGUUGUAAACUGCUUUUGUAUGGGGAUAAAGUUAGGGACGUGUCCCUAUUUGCAGGUACCAUACGAAUAAGGACCGGCUAAUUCCGUGCCAGCAGCCGCGGUAAUACGGAAGGUCCAGGCGUUAUCCGGAUUUAUUGGGUUUAAAGGGAGCGUAGGCUGGAGAUUAAGUGUGUUGUGAAAUGUAGACGCUCAACGUCUGAAUUGCAGCGCAUACUGGUUUCCUUGAGUACGCACAACGUUGGCGGAAUUCGUCGUGUAGCGGUGAAAUGCUUAGAUAUGACGAAGAACUCCGAUUGCGAAGGCAGCUGACGGGAGCGCAACUGACGCUUAAGCUCGAAGGUGCGGGUAUCAAACAGG
rnacentral:rRNA from 1 species